UACAGAGGUCCCAAGCGUUGUUCGGAUUCACUGGGCGUAAAGGGUGCGUAGGUGGCCAGGUAAGUUCGGUGUGAAAAGCUCGGAGCUUAACUCCGAAAAUGGCAUUGAAUACUAUCUGGCUAGAGGGUCGGAGGGGAGACUGGAAUUCUCGGUGUAGCAGUGAAAUGCGUAGAUAUCGAGAGGAACACCAGUGGCGAAGGCGAGUCUCUGGACGACACCUGACACUGAGGCACGAAAGCGUGGGGAGCAAACAGG
rnacentral:rRNA from 1 species